GGGAGAUUAGUCUUGUGGUAUGAUUCUCGCUUCGGGUGUGAGAGGUCCCGGGUUUGAUUCCUGGCUCUCCCU